GCAAAGUAAAUUACUGAGAGUUCGCAAGGUUUCUCGGGGAAAUAUAAGUGUUGUGGGCUAACGGUCUGAAAAAAUAAAAACGCUUGUUAUGAAUCCCUGGGACCCCAUUACCCUAUACAGUGACACCUGCUGCUAAGAUUUUAGCCAGAUGUGUAACAUCAGGCACCAUGACACAGGAGGAGCUCGAUGCCCUCCCACGGGAUUCAGAAGGCUUUUCUACAUCUUUACUUGAAGCUGAGCAGCUGAACAGAAUUAGACAUGAUCUUGA